rnacentral:rRNA from 1 species
GAACGCUGGCGGCAUGCCUUACACAUGCAAGUCGAACGGUAACAGGUUAAGCUGACGAGUGGCGAACGGGUGAGUWAUAUAUCGGAACGUGCCCAGUCGUGGGGGAUAACUGCUCGAAAGAGCAGCUAAUACCGCAUACGACCCGAGGGUGAAAGCGSGGGGAUCGCAAGACCUCGCGCGAUUGGAGCGGCCGAUAUCAGAUUAGGUAGUUGGUGGGGUAAAAGCCCACCAAGCCAACGAUCUGUAGCUGGUCUGAGAGGACGACCAGCCACGCUGGGACUGAGACACGGCCCAGACUCCUACGGGAGGCAGCAGUGGGGAAUUUUGGACAAUGGGCGCAAGCUUGAUCCAGCCAUGCCGCGUGCGGGAAGAAGGCCUUCGGGUUGUAAACCGCUUUUGUCAGGGAAGAAAAGGUUCUGGUUAAUACCUGGGACUCAUGACGGUACCUGAAGAAUAAGCACCGGCUAACUACGUGCCAGCAGCCGCGGUAAUACGUAGGGUGCAAGCGUUAAUCGGAAUUACUGGGCGUAAAGCGUGCGCAGGCGGUUAUGCAAGACAGAGGUGAAAUCCCCGGGCUCAACCUGGGAACUGCCUUUGUGACUGCAUAGCUAGAGUACGGUAGAGGGGGAUGGAAUUCCGCGUGUAGCAGUGAAAUGCGUAGAUAUGCGGAGGAACACCGAUGGCGAAGGCAAU